ACGACAUAGAAAAACGUUUCGAGAAAAAUAAAGCGGGAGCCAUUGGCGCUACAGGGGAAAUUUCCGCGCGAAAAACCAAAAUCCCUAACAUUUUUCUCUCGGAGUUCUCUCCCUCUUCGUCCUUCUCUCUGAAACCGAAAACCAAAACUCGGCCUCUUUCUGUGUUUCUGAGAGCUUCAUCUACACUUCACGCAACACAUUUACCUUUCCUUUUCCACUUCUACCCGAACUUGCCCCUAAUCUAUUUCUUUCCGUCGCCGAAGCACCGUCGGUGGCAUUUCUUGGCCUUCAUCCUCGGCUGUGGCCAUUUCCGAGGACCAUCGGUGAGAUUUCUCAAAGUGCAAGAAGGAGGACCGUCGGUGAGAUUCAUUAAGGAGCAACAAAACUUACAGAGUCUCUGUUGUGGCUGAAAGGCGUCUUCUAUUUUCGUCAGGGCCAUAUCGAGCAGGCGUCUUCUAUUUUCGUCAGGGCCAUAUCGAGCAGGCGUCUUCUAUUUUCGUCAGGGCCAUAUCGAGCAGGUGAAGGAAUGCAAAUCAGCCUUGCUACGUUUUGCAAAGAAGACUAACAUCCCCGUUCUUUUGUUCUCGGAGGCUUGAGGAUGGCAGGGUGGAAUUGCUUCUCCAGGUCACAUUUUGUGUGGCAGUUGGUGCUCUAGUUGCAAGUAUGCCUUCCACUGGAAUAAAACAAAUCUCAUGCUUACAAUUAAUCACACGUUUGUAUAAAUUGCUUAUAAAGGUGGUUUAUUUAGUAACUCUGAUACAAUAUGCAUUACAUUGUGCUUUGUAUACAUCAUUUGACCACCUAGGAACUUGCUUGUGUAGAACCAACCAUCUGUGCCAGACAGUUUGUUAGAUGUCGUCCCUAGGAGGAUAAUUCUUAAUGAUAUAACAUGGUUUUAUGAAUAAUUAAUAAAUGUUUUCCUUCUAAAAUGACUUUAACAUACAACCUAUGCUUUUAUACUAAAGCUUAGAGAAACCUUAAGCUCAAAUUAAAGGUAGUGCUGCUCUUCAUU